UUCUGCUUUUGCUUUGGCCAGGAGUCUCCGGAGGACGGGGUCCUCCAGGCGCGCCGAAGACGACUACCGAGCCCAGGCGUGAAUCAGAGACCGAGAAAGAAAAAGGGUCGCGUGAGGCUUGAGCCAGACCCCGUGUUCGGCCCUGGCUCAGUCAGUUGUCAUGAUUUUAUAGUCCCUCUUGAGGGGGGACGGAAACUCCUUCGUUGCGGGUCAGCUAAGUCAAAAAGCCGUGAGUUCAGUUCGCUGCCCGAGGUGACAAGAAACUUGCUUGGAUGAAGUCAUGUGAGCUGAACCGAUUGGCCCGAAUCCUCAAAGAGGGGAGUGUCAGGGCGCGCGGCUCCCUCGGAGAGGCUGAGGUAACGCUGGCACCUUCCCGGGAGUCCCCGGACGCCUGGCUUCUGAGUCUCUGUGGAAAGCACUUCUCGCUGGGCGUUGGCGCGCCUGACGAACUGUGCAGUCACUGAGCAGUUGUGGCGAUUGGAAAAUCAGUUUCACGCCCUAGGAAUGUCUGCGAGAGCCGUCCCCGCCCCGCUUCCCAGAUCCAGCCAAAAAAAAAAAAAAAAUCCAAAGCAAAACCAACUGAGAAAUGGAGCUAGAAAUUGAUGAGGGAUUCCUAGCACCUCAGAAUGUUGACUUGGUAACUUUAUUUUUAAGUCUUUAACAAAUUGCGUUUAUGUCACGUAGAAAUUUUAAGCAGCUUCCGGGGGUUUUGUGUCCCACUUGGAACCAACUUCAGAGCAGCUUGCGCAUAAAUUGGAAUUAUGUGAAUCGUACCUCCGGUUAGAGCACUUAACACACGUAGCGUGUAAACAAAUAUUUCCAACUUGUCGGCGACGGGAUCACUAUGCAAGGCAGGCUUACAAAAAUCCAUGGGGAAUGAAAUCUCACUUCUGAAAGUGAAAAACGCAAAUUCAAGUAGCGUCUGGAUACCUUGCGCCCAUUCAGACGGGGACUGAAGGCUAAAUUAAUAUAGUCUUCCUAAAGGAACUAUUUGAAAGGAUGUUACAAAAAGUAGGAACACCUUUGGACCCAGCAAUUCUACUUUUUGGAAUUUAUCCUAAAGACAGUCUUGAAGAACACGAACAACGGUGUUCGUGGCAACGUGGCUUCUAAUAUCAAAGCGUCGUUCACCACUAAAAUGCCCAAUAUAAAUCACAUCACCUCCUGGUGCUUCAAUUUUAUUUUCUCAUCUGUGAGAAGCAGGAACAAUCAUAGGGUUGUGAGGAUGGAAUGGAUGAAUACAAACCAAACCCUUAGGUGCCUAGCAUGUAGUAAGCACUAAAUAAAUGUUUGUUUUGUCCUGCCUCCAUGUUCAUGGUGAGCCCUCAGCCUGCAAUAUCCUCUUGCAAUUUGUCGGAAUCACCCUCAUUUUUCAAGUAUUCAAUGGUGGUUUCUUGCACAAAGCCUUUUUGGAUCCCCCAAACAAGAGAGAGAGAGCACGAACAGGGGAGUGGCGACAGAGAGGAAGACAGAAUCCGAAGCAGGCUCCAGAGCUGUCAGCACAGAGCCUGACGUGGGGCUUGAACCCACAAACCACGACAUCAUGACCUGAGCCAAAGUUGGACGCUCAACCAACGGAGCCACCUGGGUGCCCUGGUUUGUUAUUUUUUAAUUUUUUUUGAAGUUUAUUCAUUUCGAGAGAGACAGAGAAAGCAAGCAGGGGAGGAGCAGAGAAAGAGAGAGAGAGAAAAUCCCAAGCAGGCUCUGCACUGUCAGCACAGGGCCCAAUGUGGGCUUGAACCCACAAAACGUGUGAGACCAUGACCUGAGCUGAAACCAAGAGUCAGAUGCUUAACUGACUGAGCCACCCAGGCGCCCCUGUUAUUUUUUAAAAGUAUUUUAUUUAGUUAUUUUGAGAGAGAGAGAGACAGCACAAGCAGGGGAGGUGCAGACAAAGAUGGGGAGAGAGAGAGAAUCCCAAGCAGGCUCCAUGCUGCCAGCCCAGAGCCCAAUGGGGGCUUGAUCCUAGGAACCAUGAAAUCAUACCUGAGCUGGGUUGAAGAGUCGGAUGCUUAACCAACUGAGUCACCCAGGUGCCCCAAAUCAGUUUGUUAUAUUAUUGAGUUGUAAGAUUCUUUAUA